UGCAUAUCAAAAAAGCGGAGGAAAAGAAACCAACAGGGAUUGCCCCAGUAACGGCGAGUGAAGCGGCAACAGCUCAAAUUUGAAAUCUGGUCCCCUUGCGGGGCCCGAGUUGUAAUUUGAAGAGGAUGCUUCUGGCAAGGUGCCUUCCGAGUUCCCUGGAACGGGACGCCGCAGAGGGUGAGAGCCCCGUACGGUAGGACGCCGAGCCUCUGUGAAGCUCCUUCGACGAGUCGAGUAGUUUGGGAAUGCUGCUCAAAAUGGGAGGUAAACCCCUUCUAAAGCUAAAUACCGGCCAGAGACCGAUAGCGCACAAGUAGAGUGAUCGAAAGAUGAAAAGCACUUUGAAAAGAGAGUUAAAAAGCACGUGAAAUUGUUGAAAGGGAAGCGCUUGCGACCAGACUCGCGCCCGUCGGAUCAGCCGUCGCUUGUCGGCGGCGCACUCCGGCGUGGCUCGGGCCAGCAUCAGUUCGCCUCGGGGGGAGAAAGGCGGCAGGAAUGUGGCUCCUCGGAGUGUUAUAGCCUGCCGUGUAAUACCCCCGGGCGGACUGAGGACCGCGCGUAUGCCAAAGGG
rnacentral:rRNA from 1 species